rnacentral:rRNA from 1 species
UACGGAGGAUCCGAGCGUUAUCCGGAUUUAUUGGGUUUAAAGGGUGCGUAGGCGGAAAUGUAAGUCAGUGGUGAAAUCCUGCAGCUUAACUGUAGAAUAGCCGUUGAAACUGUGUUUCUUGAGUACAUUUGAGGUAGGCGGAAUGUGGUGUGUAGCGGUGAAAUGCAUAGAUAUACCACAGAACACCGAUUGCGAAGGCAGCUUACUAAACUGUCACUGACGCUGAUGCACGAAAGCGUGGGUAUCAAACAGG